rnacentral:rRNA from 1 species
CCUACGGGGGGCAGCAGUGGGGAAUAUUGGACAAUGGGCGAAAGCCUGAUCCAGCCAUGCCGCGUGUGUGAAGAAGGCCUUCGGGUUGUAAAGCACUUUCAGUGGGGAAGAAAGCCUUGGGGCUAAUACCCUCGAGGAAGGACAUCACCCACAGAAGAAGCACCGGCUAACUCCGUGCCAGCAGCCGCGGUAAUACGGAGGGUGCGAGCGUUAAUCGGAAUUACUGGGCGUAAAGCGCGCGUAGGCGGUCUGAUAAGCCGGUUGUGAAAGCCCCGGGCUCAACCUGGGAACGGCAUUCGGAACUGUCAGGCUAGAGUGCAGGAGAGGAAGGUAGAAUUCCCGGUGUAGCGGUGAAAUGCGUAGAGAUCGGGAGGAAUACCAGUGGCGAAGGCGGCCUUCUGGACUAACACUGACGCUGAGGUGCGAAAGCGUGGGUAGCAAACAGGAUUAGAUACCCCAGUAGUC